rnacentral:rRNA from 1 species
GAUGAACGCUGGCGGCGUGCCUAAUACAUGCAAGUCGAGCGAACGGACGCGAAGCUUGCUUCUCUGUUGUUAGCGGCGGACGGGUGAGUAACACGUGUAUAACCUCCCUAUCAUACUGGUAUAACUUCGGGAAACCGGAUCUAAUACCGUAUAAUAUUUUGAACCGCGUGGUUCAAUAGUGAAAGACGGUGUUUCUGUCACUUCUAGAUGGAUCCGCGCUUCAUUGGCUAGUUGUUAAGGUAACGGAGUACCAAGGCAACGAUGCAUGGCCGAACUGAGAGGGUGGUCAGCCACACUGGAAGGGAGACACGGUACAGACGCCUACGGGAGGCAGCAGUAGGGAAUCGUCCGCAAUGGGCGAAAGCCUGACCGAGCAACGCCGCGGGAGUGAGGAAGGACGUCGGAUGGGAGAACACUGUUAUUAGGGAAGAACAUAUGUGCAAGUAACUGGGAACAUCAUGAAGGUAACUAAUCAGAGAACCACGGGUAAAUUCGGU